rnacentral:rRNA from 1 species
GACAGAGGGUGCAAACGUUGUUCGGAAUUACUGGGCGUAAAGGGUGCGUAGGCGGUUUGAUAAGUCUGAUGUGAAAUCCCCGGGCUCAACCUGGGAACGGCAUUGGAGACUGUCAAGCUAGAGUGCGUCAGAGGGGGGUAGAAUUCCACGUGUAGCAGUGAAAUGCGUAGAGAUGUGGAGGAAUACCGAUGGCGAAGGCAGCCCCCUGGGAUGACACUGACGCUGAAGCACGAAAGCGUGGGGAGCAAACAGG